UACGUAGGGUGCGAGCGUUGUCCGGAAUUAUUGGGCGUAAAGAGCUUGUAGGCGGUCUGUCGCGUCUGCUGUGAAAAUCCGGGGCUCAACUCCGGAUCUGCGGUGGGUACGGGCAGACUAGAGUGAUGUAGGGGAGACUGGAAUUCCUGGUGUAGCGGUGAAAUGCGCAGAUAUCAGGAGGAACACCGGUGGCGAAGGCGGCUCUCUGGGCAUUACCUGACGCUGAGGAGCGAAAGUGUGGGGAGCGAACAGG
rnacentral:rRNA from 1 species